rnacentral:lncRNA from 1 species
GUCACUUACCUCGAAUUGGCUCAAAACUCAACCUGAUACCAUGCUCUUGCGACGAGUACUCAACUCCAAAUAGCCCAAAUAUAUUCAAUUCAAUUGCAUAUUUUAAAUAACACUUCAAGUAACCGAUUCUACAAUUAAACUUUAAGCUAAUACGCGAAAUUAUGUGAAAUGGCCAAAACGCCCCUCAGACCCAUGUCUCGUAAUCGGGUGAGAUUUAUAUUUUUAGAAACCUCGUAAUUUCACGAGUCUAUACAUAUCAAGAAUACUGAAAUCAGAGUCCAAAUGGCCCUUCAAUUCCUUAAUUAAAUGUCUCUUAAUCUCAAGCUCUAAUUACCCAUUCCAAAUUUCUCGCCAUUAAUUAGGUCUUUAAUCACAUAAAAACGAGUUAUGAAGUCAAGAGCGUUGCCUCCAAGUGAUUCCCCUUUGUUAUCCUAAAAAAUCCCUUUCAAAAGCUUCAAACCCGGAUAAAAAUGGUGAAAGAAUAGCCAAUUUUCGCAAAGACAACUAUUUAUAUGCUCUGCCCAACGAUUUUUGUAUUUGCGACACAGGAACCAUAUCUGCAGUCCCGCUUCUGUGGACACGACGUCGCAUCUGCGACUUUCAUUAAAAAGCCCAGAGACCGUAUCUGCGGUAUAGGUUCCUGCAUACUGAAGGAGAAGCCAAAAAGGGGCCAUGUUUGGUUUAGCAACAGAAUUGAACCUUGCUCAGGUCACGUGGAAUGUCAUUGGGCCUACAUUGAUGCCCAUAGCAUUCGGCCAAUCCAAGCCCCUUUGUUUCAGACUCAUGCAUGGAGCACAAUAUAUGGAAAUACAAGAUCAUAUAUCCAACCAUCACACCAAAGAGUGAUCAAAUCAAAUUAUACAAAAUCCAACAUCUGCUUAUCUUCACUGAGUCAGUCAGAAUUGUUACAAUAAUAGCCUUAGCUGAAUAUUACAAUAAGAACUAACUAUACAACACUAAACUUCAUAAAUCAGUAUUCCCAUUUUGUCUCAUAUUUGCUUAACAUUGCAUAACCGAGAUCGAAUCACAAAAUUAACCUACUUACAUACAAGAGUAUUACACAGAUUACCAACUAUAAAAUCCAUAAUUUUCAAACUUAGUUGACUAUAUAGAUUUCAACAUGUGAUAUUACUCAAAGAUAGGAAUCAGCCAAUACACAAAGCGCUUAUGUUCAGGAAACUCAAAAAUCUAGUAUCUCAUUUUAGUUAAGUUGAACGUGUAUUGUGUUCAGUACUUAAGCUAAAUCGAAGCAUAUACAUUCAAAUAUCAAUAAAUAGACUUAGACAAAUAAGUGAUCUGCUACGAUAGAGUGAUGGAUGCAUCUAAAAUACACAUGAGGUAGUAACAAACGAGCACUUAUGAACCAAACAGACAUAACAACACAUCUGGAAGAAAGACAAGAAAAGAGAAGGAGGUUUCCAACUUUCAGAAAGAAAAAUUGAAGUAUGAUAAUCUGUUUUCAAUCAGUCUCAAAAUGAAAGAAAGAAAAUCUGAAUUUUAGAGGUUUCUUGGUGUAAGAAUCCGCCUCAGUCCCCAAAAUGAGAGGAAAGAAACCUUAAACUAUUGUUGAGAUUUUGGGUGUAGUUGAUAGUCCCAUUGCUCGAGGGCGAGCAAGAGCUUAAGUGUGGGUGUUGAUGUUUAGCUUAAACUAUAUAUAUUUAUAUGCAUCCCGCCUCGCAUUUUACUCAUAUUUUGCAGAUUUCGGAUGUAAGAUGUAAUGAUUUAUCGUAGUUCGUGGUAUUUUUAUGCGUAGGAAUCAUCCAGUGACAAUAUAGAAUGAAGGUGCGAGAUUGAAGGUAAAAAGGAGCGAAAUAGAAAAAAUGCCACAGAGUAGGGCCCAGGCUAGCUUGGGGCACUACCUGUGGCGUAGAAGGCGGAAUACUAAAAUGUUCCGGCGCCAGGGCUAGCACCGAAUGUUACCCUAGGCGGUGGUGACGGAAAAAUUCUUCUAGUUCAUCAGUGGCUAAAAC